CCUUUCUCCAACAUUCCCCAACCUGCAUCCCUAUCCCUACCCUGCACCCCAGUUCCACCCUCCACCCAUGGGGCCCCUCAGCCCUUAUCUCUUCUUCCUCCCCAACACGAAUCCCUCGUAGGACAUGGUCAGGCGUCCAAGUUUGCAGAGGAAUCGUCCAGGAGCCCUAGCCUGACAAGAAUAUGGCAGAAGUGGACCUGAGCGGCCUGGACAUCCUUCUAAGGAGACAUGAAUAGUCCUCAUGUUUCUGCCUUCUGCAUCGCUGGCUGAGAGUAAGAUACCAAGGAAAACAAAGUCACACAUCAGUCUACUGCCCUCAUGCGAUGGAAAGGGAGCCCGAGAGUCGAGACUCUGAGCAUUGUUGAUGCCACUCAAAAGCCGUCCAUCUGGGAGCUGAGGAGACGCCGCUGUCAGUGAGAUAAGUGUCUGGUUUGGUGAGGGCUCUGCUCACGCCCAACCUGAGUCCAGGUUGGGAAGCCCACUAAGUUGGGGCUGGGUUUGUAUGAAAAGGUUCCUGACUAACUGUGGUUACGAGGGGGAAAAGGUCCCUAUUUUCAGAGGUUGCUCAUUUCUCUGGUCAGGAAUGGUGCCUCCUCUGCAGCGGAAGGUUGGAUUCAGAAGGAUGACUCCAGGUGGUCAGUUGCUUGCUUUCCUCCCAUUUUUUUUUUCUCUCUCUUUCUCUCUUCUCUAGUAUGUUGGCCAACACACACCCUCUAGCUCUCGCUGUCUGUC